rnacentral:lncRNA from 1 species
AUGAAGGACUUCGGUUAUGUCUCCAGGUGUGUGUGAAACAGGAAGAUGAAUACAGCGUGUGGAGACAUGUCUGAUUUACAAAAACAUGUUUGAGCACUUUCAUGGGGAAGGAAUGUUUGGAAAGUUUUCUGAUGACUUCCUCCUCCUGAACCGCGCAGUGUGAUAGAGUUCGGUCUCCCCCUCCAUCGUCUACGCUGACUCCAGUAUCGCCUGCCUCCUGAGGCAGACGCGUUUCAAAGCGUUAGAGAACCGGAUUCCUUCACUGGUACCCCCGCGCCCUUCAGGUAUGUCAUGGUUGCUUUCCUCUUCCUACGGGACACCCCCACGGUGUGUUUGUUCACUGCUGUGUGUGUGUGCACUUUGGAUGGGUUAAAUGCAGAGCACAAAUUCUGAGUAUGGGUCACCAUACUUGGCCAGAAAGUCACUUUCACUUUCAACAAUCUCCGAGAAACCGUUUAAAAGCCGUAGGUUGGCGUUCCUUGUCACGUUAGAGAGGCGAAUCUAAAUCAGGCAGACGUCUACAGCUCAGCAGCAGUUCAGACAGUUAAAUCAAUAGUUUGACAACAAGCCGAAUAUCAUCGCGUUCUGGAUGAAGCAGCACAAAGUUAAAAUGGCAAAGCGGUUUUUAUCUGGCUUCUUGCUUGUUUUCUACUGUAUUGCUAACAUGGUGCUGCAAGUUUUAUCUGCUAACAUCGUCAAUGGAACCAGAGGAGCCUCAUGGAUCUGGCCAUGCCAUCACACCCUCAGUGAACCGCUCCAGACUGGAGAAAUCUCCAUAUACUGGCAGGGCCAAAAUAAUUCCCAUAUUGUUGUGCAUGUUUACACAAAGGGGAAAGAAGAUUUCAAGUACCAAAGCCAGACAUUUAAAAAUAGGACUAAAAUCUUCCCAGAUCAGUUAUCUUCUGGCAACUUCUCACUUGCCAUUGAGCCACUGACACUGAGAGAUGACCAGACCUUCCUGGAAGUCAUUCUUGCACCAGGAAACAGACCUAGCGAGAAGCUCUGCCAGACAAGUCUAUAUGUGGCAGCUCUUUUCCAGAAACCUCAAAUUGAGAUAAACCAAACAGAGAUGACAGCAGCCUGCAGCACAAAGGGAGGUUACCCUAAACCUGAAAUCAGAUGGAGUUUUGAGGGUGGUGUGAGUAGAGUGGGACAACAUGAAGUACAGACCACUGUGACCUAUGAAGAAGAUGGCACCUAUAGUGUCCACAGCACUGCAAACAUCACAGGAUUACAGAAAGUGACCUGUGAUGUCUACAACCCGACUUCAAACCAGACUGUGAGUUCAACUAAAGAUGUGCCCCCUCACAGUCCUGUGUCUCCAGGUGCUGACGUGUGAUGCGUACAGGAGCGCUCAUCAAGCUGAGGCAGCAGGGACUGUGCAGUUUGCUGUCUAUACAUCUGGCAAAUAUCCACUCCCUUGUAAAUAAGGUGGACAAGGUGCUGCUUCACAACACCAAAAACUCAGACUGGCAGAUUCGCCACACUCUGUUUCACUGAAACCUGGCUCAGCGAACAUGUCUCGGACAGCGCACUAUGGCUGCCUGAAUUGCAGUUUCUCAGAGCAGACUGCUGCACAAAGCGCUCAGGGAAAAGAAAGAGAGAUGGAAUCUGCUUCUGUGUAAACAAAGGUUGGUGCACAGCUUAUCCAUCUUACUGAAUUAGUCAUGCAGUCCUCACUUGGAGAAAAUCUUCAUAAACUACAAACCAUUUUAUUCACCCUGGGAGUUCACCACAUUUGUUCUGGUCAUAGUUUAGGAGAUUCAACCUCAGGCCUGCGUCACCGAGACGUCACAACAGCUGGCUGAGCAGGUAACGAAUGUGGAAAAACAACACCCAGACUCCCCUGCUCAUCAUCCUGGGGGAUUUUAACAGAACAACAAAUGUCACCCAUGAACUUUGCAAACACAGACAGCAUAUUAAAUGUCCCACUAGGGACACGAAUACAGUGGACCACUGUUACACAGUUUUAAAGGACACUUAUCGCUGUUUCUGUGCUGCUUUAGGACUCUCUGAAUCCUGUCUGCUUACUCUCAUCCUGACCUAUAGGCAGAAGUUGAAAUCCUCUAAUUCUGUAGUAAUGUCAAGAACCAGGGAGGUAAUCAGGAGCACAGUAUCACCCACACGAAGUACAGAGUUAGAAGAAAGAGGUCAUUUAUUGGUACAAACAACAAUGAAUGGCAGUGACCAGUAGGUGGUGAUGAUGCGCAGGGUUAGUCUUAUUGCAGUUGAGUGGUUUCAGCCGGGCCAAAACACCGUAUGGACGUGCCGGGAUCAGCUGAUGGGUCUGGGAGAACUGAAUUUGGCCCGCAGAGCAACAUCUGACGGUGGCUGACUUUCCUAGGUCGAAGGAUCCGGUUUGAUUCACAGUCAGUUUUAAAAGAAGAGAAAAAGAAUCAAAAGCUCAGGCAGCUCGUAGAUCAAACACUGGCACUUGGAAAUCACAAUUCCCGUGAUAGGGAUCUCAAAAAUUCUUAACCAAAAAAAACAAGGUUGGAACCGAGGCUGGUCGGAAAAAACACAGAGGAACUCCACCACAAUGUUUCUCUUCGGCAAAAUCCACUUCCGCAAAAAUACUAGUCCAGGUCAAAAAAUCAGGGAAACAGAAAAAGACUUAGCUACGAGCUCUUUCCUGAUGUCCUUCGUUUAAAG